ACGGCCAGGCAGGAACAUUGUCAGAUCCAUGCAUCAUUGGUAAGAAAAUCUCUUCCCCCCUCCCUCCCCCCAACACCACCACCACCACCACCACACCCCCCAACCUCCCGCCCCACCAACGCAGACCUGAAAAGAUCCUUUUGUCCCUCAUCACCCGCCUGCCCGCCACCGCUCCUACCCCCCCACACACCCCACCUCUUACUGACACACACCCCUCAUGUGGUCAUGGAUACCUGGGACCGUCUCCCACCCGGAUGCCUCGCAGGGUAAAGCUACCUGCAGGCAGCAGACCGUGUGGAGGCAACUCAGCCGAGAGUCUCCCACUCUUUUGGGUUCGGUCCUUAUAGGAGAUGUGCACCGAGCCUAACGCCAGAGAAAACACUAACCCAGCGCAGACCCAUGCAGGCUCCUCUCCAUGUUUAUUUGCACACGUCAGGGCCCUUCCUGCUGUUGAUUUAGAGCCACUGCCACUUAUAGCUAUGACAAAUGAAAUGCCCCCUUGAUGACUCGGACUGUUUGCCAUCAGCAGCUGUUGUUCCUGGCACCGGCCUGUGCUGCUCUGACGCUACCUCCAGCCUUUGUCGCCCCGUCUGCAGACUGCCCUCCGCUCCCCACUUGCACUUGUUGUGCGGCUGACGAGGGGGAGGCUGCACGGCACAGCGUGGCCGAUGCAGCACGCGGGUUCAUGAAUGCAGACGUUGUCCAUCCGGAUUCGGAAGCGAGGGAUUAAAAAGCACUGCCAGAGUUUCCGAUUGAUUUUUAGCCCCUUGCACAUCCUGAACUCGACUCUGGCCUCCCUCCGUCCUGUGGCGCAGAGUCUGUUUAAUCCUCGCUGUGUCUGCUUCCUGCUGGACACGCUGUCGUUAGAUUAGCAGUGAACUUUCAACUAUUUUUCCAUGUGGGAUUUCCUUUGUCAUAAAAUCCAGGGCUGGUACAGGCUGAGUAGUGUCUCUUUCCCAUGGCCCAGAACCGACAGAACAAACUCUCGCAGAGAGCAAAGAAAACACGGCAACAAAAAGCAAAUGAUCCGCAGCACUCCUUGGUAAAAAUGACGAAAACGAGAAAAACCCUCUUCCUCCUUCAGCCAAACGUGUUCAGACCCGCGUUUCAGAGGAAACAAAGCUGGCGCGUGUGUACACAACAGCCUCCUGACUGACAGCUGCUGAUGUUGACUCACAUUUAUAUAAUUAAAGUUCCCUUCAUGA